AUGGGAGCUGAUUACCCAAAAAAUCCCUGGGAAAAAAGAAAAGAUAUCUCGGUAACGAAAACCAUAGGAGGCUGUAUUGGCGAGAUCCAAGGGUUCACAGCAGCCCAAAAGAAAAACCGCCUGGAAGUCCGAGGACCUUUAGUACCAUACCGAACCAGCAGCCUUCGCGCCAAGCGACGACCGCCCUUGUCCCUUUCCUUUUUCCAUUCAACCUACUUCUUAGCUUUGUUCCGUCAGUCUAAGGCAAAGCUUAAGUGGUUUGCCUACCUUACCCACUUGAUGAAAGGGAACGAACUUCGUUUCCUUGGCGGCUUUAUGGAUGGAUUCAGUCAGAAAAAACUCCUUCCUUUUGAAAAAAGUGACGCUUUGCGUCUUUGCUUCCGAGGGUUAGGGUAUAGGCCGUUUCGAGCAAACUUUCGCUUUUUCUCCUGGCUUUCUACAACUUUCACUUUAGCUUCCAAAGGCGACCCAAUGACCUUUCCAGAAUUGGAAGUAUUCGUCGCCCUACGCUAA
rnacentral:rRNA from 1 species